rnacentral:tRNA from 1 species
GCCCAGAUGGCGGAAUUGGUAGACGCGUACGCUUCAGGAGCGUGUGGAUUAAACUCCGUGGAAGUUCGAGUCUUCUUCUGGGCACCA